GGAGGAUUCGCCUAGUGGCCUAUGGCGCCCGCCUGCUAAGCGGGUUUCGGGUUACCCCCGAUCGAGGGUUCGAAUCCCUCAUCCUCCGCCA
rnacentral:tRNA from 1 species